UCAAUCUCGUGUGGCUAUAAUUACCACCGGUCCCUCUAAGAAGAUUUUCAUUGUACGCCGAUAGUUGAAGACCGCGCGCGCGGACAAACGCGAACNNNCGCGUUAACGACGCGAGCACGCACUCGCCGCCCGGCCGCGGACCCUCGUGAUAUCGGUAGCACGUCUAUUUAAUAGGCUAGAGUUACGUUCGUUAC
rnacentral:rRNA from 1 species